AGAGUUUGAUCCUGGCUCAGAACGAACGCUGGCGGCGUGCCUAACACAUGCAAGUCGAGCGAGAAAAGGGGGGCAACUCCCUGAGUACAGCGGCGCACGGGUGAGUAACACGUAGGUAACCUGCCCUCGAGCCUGGGAUAACCUACCGAAAGGUGGGCUAAUACCGGAUAUGACCACGGGAGUUACGGCUUCUGCGGUGAAAGAUGGCCUCUGCUUGCACGCCAUCUCUCGAGGAUGGGCCUGCGCGCCAUUAGCUAGUUGGCGGGGUAAUGGCCCACCAAGGCUAUGAUGGCUAGCUGGUCUGAGAGGAUGACCAGCCACACUGGGACUGGAACACGGCCCAGACUCCUACGGGAGGCAGCAGUGGGGGAUAUUGCGCAAUGGGCGAAAGCCUGACGCAGCGACGCCGCGUGGGUGAUGAAGGCCUUCGGGUCGUAAAGCCCUGUCGAGGGGGACGAACCGGUUGCGAUCGAAUAGAUCGCAACCCUGACGGUACCCCUAAAGGAAGCACCGGCUAACUCCGUGCCAGCAGCCGCGGUAAUACGGAGGGUGCGAGCGUUGUUCGGAAUCACUUGGCGUAAAGCGCGUGUAGGCGGCCUGCUAAGUCUGAUGUGAAAGCCCGAGGCUCACCCUCGGAAGUGCAUUGGAAACUGGCAGACUGGAGUCCCGGAGAGGAGGGUGGAAUUCCUGGUGUAGCGGUGAAUGCGUAGAUAUCAGGAGGAACACCGGUGGCGAAGGCGGCCCUCUGGACGGUGACUGACGCUGAGACGCGAAAGCGUGGGGAGCAAACAGGAUUAGAUACCCUGGUAGUCCACGCUGUAAACGAUGAGCACUAGGUGUCGCGGGUAUUGACCCCUGCGGUGCCGCAGCUAACGCAUUAAGUGCUCCGCCUGGGGACUACGGCCGCAAGGUUAAACUCAAAGGAAUUGACGGGGGCCCGCACAAGCGGUGGGAGCA
rnacentral:rRNA from 1 species